rnacentral:misc_RNA from 1 species
UCCCUGUUACCAGGGCAGUCUGUCUAGAAAAAUACAACUAAACAAAGGGGUUGCGCUCGUUGAAGGACUUAACCUAACGUCUCACGACACGAGCUGACGACGGCCAUGCAUCACCUGUCUUAGAGUUCCUUACGGCACAGUUUCCUUUCGGAAGCCUUCUCUAGAUGUCAAACCUGGGUAAGGUUCUUCGCUUACCAUCGAAUUAAACAACACGCUCCACCGCUUGUGCGGGUCCCCGUCAAUUCCUUUAUGUUUUAGUCUUGCGACCGUACUCCACAGGCGGGAUGCUUAACGCGUUAGCUUCGCUACAAGAAGGGUCGAUACUCCUUACAGCUAGCAUCCAUAGUUUACGGCGUGGACUAC